CAGAGAGGCGCUUUGUGUUUACCGGGAGGAGGCCCUGCAGAAAUAGUUAUCCUCGACUACCCUCUGACAAGAUUUGUUUCCUGGGUGCUUGCCAACAUCGGAGGAAUUUGUGUUGCUCAGAAAUACGCCUUGUUGAGGCUUAAACUGGAUUGCGAACUCCUCUUCCCUAUUUCAGGUUUCCCAGGGACACCUCCAUAAUAUGCCACCUGGUAGAGUCCUAGACUUGGGGUCUGCCUCUUGGGAAUCCAUCUAAGACAAGUGUACUUCUCAUCCCAGAAACUCUCCAGGGUCAGGAUGCUGCGAGCUGUCGUCCAUCUAGAGGGUUGCUGGGCACACAGGCUCUGGAAUCAAACUACCCAAGCUGAAAGUCUUGUCUCUGUCACCUCCUAGCUGUGUGACCUUGCAAAAGUUAUUUAACUGUUCUGUGCCUCAGUUUCCUCAUCUUUAUUUUAUUUUUUUAAUUUUAUUUUUUUAUCGAAGUAUAGUUGAUUUACAAUGUGUUAGUUUCAGGUGUACAGCACAGUUGUUCAGUUAUGUGUGUAUAUAUAUAUAUUCUUUUUCAGAUUUUUUUCCCUUAUAGGUUAUUACAAAAUAUUGAGUAGAGUUCCCUGUGCUAUACAGUAGGUCCUUGUUGGUUAUCUAUUUUAUAUAUAUUAGUGUGUAUAUGUUAAUCCCAAACUCUUAAUUUAUCCCUCCCUCUCCCCUUCCCUUUUGGUAAUCAUAAAUUUGUUUUCUAUGUC